ensembl:snRNA U2 U2 spliceosomal RNA
AUCGCUUCUCAGCCUUUUGGCUAAGAUCAAGUGUAGAAAAGAAUUACAGGUAAAAAAUAUAAAUUUAUUUAUGUAUAAUAU